rnacentral:rRNA from 1 species
UCCGCAGGAGGUUCGUUAAAAUUGGGGUGAAAUCCCGGAGCUCAACUCCGGAACUGCCCUGAUGACUGACGGACUAGAGUGCUGGAGGGGUAAGCGGAAUUUCAGGUGUAGCGGUGGAAUGCGUAGAUAUCUGAAAGAACACCGAUGGCGAAGGCAGCUUACUGGACAGCAACUGACUCUCAGGGACGAAAGCGUGGGGAGCAAACA